GAUGAACGCUAGCUACAGGCUUAACACAUGCAAGUCGAGGGGAAACGGCAUUGAGUGCUUGCACUCUUUGGACGUCGACCGGCGCACGGGUGAGUAACGCGUAUCCAACCUUCCCAUUACUGUGGGAUAACCUGCCGAAAGGCAGACUAAUACCGCAUAGUCUUCGAUGACGGCAUCAGAUUUGAAGUAAAGAUUUAUCGGUAAUGGAUGGGGAUGCGUCUGAUUAGCUUGUUGGCGGGGUAACGGCCCACCAAGGCUACGAUCAGUAGGGGUUCUGAGAGGAAGGUCCCCCACAUUGGAACUGAGACACGGUCCAAACUCCUACGGGAGGCAGCAGUGAGGAAUAUUGGUCAAUGGACGGAAGUCUGAACCAGCCAAGUAGCGUGCAGGAUGACGGCCCUAUGGGUUGUAAACUGCUUUUGUAUGGGGAUAAAGUUAGGGACGUGUCCCUAUUUGCAGGUACCAUACGAAUAAGGACCGGCUAAUCCCGUG
rnacentral:rRNA from 1 species